GACGAACGCUGGCGGCGUGCUUAACACAUGCAAGUCGAACGGAAAGGCCCUGCUUUUGUUGGGUGCUCGAAUGGCGAACGGGUGAGUAACACGUGAGUAACCUGCCCUAGACUUUGGGAUAACUUCAGGAAACUGGGGCUAAUACCGGAUAGAAGCUUCUGCUGCAUGGUGGGGUUUGGAAAUAUUCCGCAGUUGGGGCUGGACUGGCAGCUUCUCAGCUUGUUGGUGUGGUAGUGCCUUACAAACGAUUUGACGCGUAGCCCGGACGACAGGGUGAACGGGCUCAGUGGGACUGGAAGAGGGCCCAAACUCUUACGGUAGGGCACGAUGGGGAAUAUUGUGUAAUGGACUGAAGUCUGAUGCAGCAACUCCGCGUGCGUGAUGACGGCCUUCGUGUUGUAAACCGCUUUCGGAUGUUACGAAGCGUGAAUGACGGUAAUGGGUAAAGAAGCACCGGCUAACUACGUG
rnacentral:rRNA from 1 species